UACGUAGGGUGCAAGCGUUGUCCGGAAUUAUUGGGCGUAAAGAGCUCGUAGGUGGCCUGUCGCGUCGGCUGUGAAAACUCGGGGGCUCAACUCCGAGCUUGCAGUCGAUACGGGCAGGCUAGAGUUCGGCAGGGGAGACUGGAAUUCCUGGUGUAGGCGGUGAAAUGCGCAGAUAUCAGGAGGAACACCGGUGGCGAAGGCGGGUCUCUGGGCCGAUACUGACACUGGAGGAGCGAAAGCGUGGGGAGCGAACAGGAUUAGAAACCCCCUGU
rnacentral:rRNA from 1 species